UACGAAGGGGGCUAGCGUUGUUCGGAAUCACUGGGCGUAAAGCGUACGUAGGCGGAUCUUUAAGUCAGGGGUGAAAUCCCGAGGCUCAACCUCGGAACUGCCUUUGAUGCUGGGGAUCUCGAGUCCGGGAGAGGUGAGUGGAACUGCGAGUGUAGAGGUGAAAUUCGUAGAUAUUCGCAAGAACACCAGUGGCGAAGGCGGCUCACUGGCCCGGAACUGACGCUGAGGUGCGAAAGCGUGGGGAGCAAACAGG
rnacentral:rRNA from 1 species